rnacentral:rRNA from 1 species
GACGAACGCUGGCGGCGUGCCUAAUACAUGCAAGUCGAGCGCAGGAAAUCGACGGAACCCUUCGGGGGGAAGUCGAUGGAAUGAGCGGCGGACGGGUGAGUAACACGUAAAGAACCUGCCCUCAGGUCUGGGAUAACCACGAGAAAUCGGGGCUAAUACCGGAUGGGUCAUCGGACCGCAUGGUCCGAGGAUGAAAGGCGCUUCGGCGUCGCCUGGGGAUGGCUUUGCGGUGCAUUAGCUAGUUGGUGGGGUAAUGGCCCACCAAGGCGACGAUGCAUAGCCGACCUGAGAGGGUGAUCGGCCACACUGGGACUGAGACACGGCCCAGACUCCUACGGGAGGCAGCAGUAGGGAAUCUUCCACAAUGGACGAAAGUCUGAUGGAGCAACGCCGCGUGAACGAUGAAGGCCUUCGGGUCGUAAAGUUCUGUUGUAAGGGAAGAACAAGUGCCGCAGGCAAUGGCGGCACCUUGACGGUACCUUGCGAGAAAGCCACGGCUAACUACGUGCCAGCAGCCGCAGUAACAC